GCCUAUCUGGGUCAGUCAGUAGAGCAUGAGACUCUUGAUCUCAGGGUUGUGAGUUUGAGUCCCACGGUAUGUG
rnacentral:tRNA from 1 species